CAGGAACGCUGGCGGCAGGCCUAACACAUGCAAGUCGAACGCUCCGCAAGGAGAGUGGCAGACGGGUGAGUAACACGUGGGAAUCUUCCUAUCGGUACGGAAUAGCCCAGGGAAACUUGAGGUAAUACCGCAUACGCCCUUCGGGGGAAAGAUUUAUCGCCGAUAGAUGAGCCCGCGUCUGAUUAGCUAGUUGGUGGGGUAAUGGCCUACCAAGGCGACGAUCAGUAGCUGGUCUGAGAGGAUGACCAGCCACACUGGGACUGAGACACGGCCCAGACUCCUACGGGAGGCAGCAGUGGGGAAUAUUGGACAAUGGGCGCAAGCCUGAUCCAGCCAUGCCGCGUGAGUGACGAAGGUCUUCGGAUUGUAAAGCUCUUUUGCCAGGGACGAUAAUGACGGUACCUGGAGAAUAAGCCCCGGCUAACUUCGUGCCAGCCGCCGCCGUAACAC
rnacentral:rRNA from 1 species